UUAAGUUCAGCGGGUAGUCCUACCUGAUUUGAGGUCAGAGCAAAAAAUGUCAGAAGACGAGUUAUGAGCAGCCUUUGAGAUUCACCGACGAAACUUAUUACGCCAGAUUCCCUCUCGGAACCACUAACACUUUUAAGGCGAGCCAGACUGGCAACACCCAAGUCCAUCAUCAUCGGAAACCCGAUGGGAUGAGAUUUUCA
rnacentral:misc_RNA from 1 species